rnacentral:misc_RNA from 1 species
UCCGGUUUGUCACCGGCGGUCCCCUUAGAGUUCCCAACUUAAUGCUGGCAACUAAGGGCAAGGGUUGCGCUCGUUGCGGGACUUAACCCAACACCUCACGGCACGAGCUGACGACAGCCAUGCAGCACCUGUGCACCCUCCCGAUUCGACGAGUCGUCCCCCUUUCAGGGUUCUACUUGGUGCAUGUCAAGCCUAGGUGAGGUUCUUCGCGUUGCAUCGAAUUAAACCACACGCUCCGCUGCUUGUGCGGGCCCCCGUCAAUUCCUUUGAGUUUCAGCCUUGCGGCCGUACUCCCCAGGCGGGACACUUACUGCGUUAGCUUCGGCACGGGAGGAGUCGACACCUCCCACACCUAGUGCCCAUCGUUUACGGCGUGGACUAC